rnacentral:tRNA from 1 species
GCGCCGGUAGCUCAAUGGAUAGAGUGUUGGCCUCCGGAGCCAAAGGUUGCAGGUUCGACCCCUGUCCGGCGUA